rnacentral:rRNA from 1 species
AGUGAACGCUGGCGGUAGGCCUAACACAUGCAAGUCGAACGGCAGCACAGUAAGAGCUUGCUCUUACGGGUGGCGAGUGGCGGACGGGUGAGGAAUACAUCGGAAUCUACUUUUUCGUGGGGGAUAACGUAGGGAAACUUACGCUAAUACCGCAUACGACCUACGGGUGAAAGCAGGGGAUCUUCGGACCUUGCGCGAUUGAAUGAGCCGAUGUCGGAUUAGCUAGUUGGCGGGGUAAAGGCCCACCAAGGCGACGAUCCGUAGCUGGUCUGAGAGGAUGGUCGGCCGCCCUGGAACUGGGACAGGGUCCAGGCGCCUGCGGGAGGCAGCAGUGGGGAAUAUGGGACAAUGGGGGCAAACCUGAUCCAGCCAUCCCGAGUGGGUGAAGGAGGCCUUCGGGUUGUAAAGCCCUUUUGUUGGGAAAGAAAAGCAGCAGGUUGAUACCCCGCUGUUCUGACGGUACCCAAAGAAUAAGCACCGGCUAACUUCGUG